CCUGCGGGUGUGACAGAGCGGGGGUCUCGAGGGCGCAGACCGGUUUGUCCGCGAUGUGAGCUGGGGGGCCGGCCCAUAGCAGACCUGAGCCUCAGGUCCAUAAAAAGGGGGUGGUCGCCCUAAGAGAUGGUGGCUCUGCCGCAGCUAGGGGGCGAGAACCUGGCGGCGCCUCAGUUUCCCCAGAUGCACUCUGGGAGAGACUGAACCGAUUGCUCCCUGAAGGUCAACAGCUGGAGCUCUUUACUGAGUGCUGACUGCCCAGGCCAGGGCUGUGGCAGGGCGUCCUUUCGGCGGUGAGGCAGGCUGUGUGCCUCGCAGGCACAUGGUGACAUUCAGACAGCAGGCCACGUGAUGGACAGCAGUCGGGGGAAGGAGGGGGGCCCUGGAGUAGCGCAGAGCCAGGCCUGGGCACAGGAGGGCCAGUCACCUGGGGGCUGCCCCCACCCUCACAGCCUUUAUGGGUGGGCCGAUGGGAUCCCAGCUCUGCUCCCUGCCACUGUGGGGUCUUGAGCAAGAACUCUGAGCCUCUCCCAGGACUGGAGAGUGCCAAGAAGGGCCCCUUGGGGGCUGUCCCCCAGGACUCUGCCCCACCCCACCCAGAGACCCACAACUCCUCCCUGUCUGACUGGACUCCUUCUUGCUGCGGCUGGGUCCACUGUGGCUCCGAAGAGGUUCUCUGUGCCUCUGUCUGUCUGUCCGCACCUCCAAGAGCCAGACCCUGCCCCACGGUGGUGGAGAGACACCUGUGCUGCCCACCUAUGUCUGCCUUGGGAGACAGCUGGGGGCCGACCGCGGGGUUUGUGGCUGAAGAGGAAUUCUGCCACAGGAUGAGUCACACCUGCACUCCGCCUAUUGGAGCCACGUGACGCUCGGAUGGGACCGGGCUUUAGACGUUAGAGCUGACGCGGGAGUGAGUUAAGACUUUGGGCUGUUGGGAUGGAAUGUUUCUGCGUGUGAGCAGGACAGGAAUUUGAAGGCCAGGCACGGAAUGCUAUGGCCUGAAUCGUGUCCCCCCCACAGUUCAUAAUUUGAAGCACUGACCCCAACGUGAGGGUGUUUGGAGGGGGGUGACUGGGGUUAGAUGAGGUUGUGAGGGUGGGCCCCCAUGAGGGGAUCAGUGUCCUCAAAGAAGAGACUCCAGAGCUGCUCUCGGCCACAUGAAGACCCAGCGAGAAAGGGCCAUCUGCGACUGGGAAGCGAGUCCAGCCCGGAGCCCGACCAUCCUGGCAGCCUGGUCUCAGACUUCCUGCCCCAGAGGGCAAGAGAGAUGUUUCUGCUGUUUAUGUCACUCGGUCUGUGGGGUUUUGUUAUGGCAGCCCGAGCAGACUGAGACAAAUGGCCUAAUGGCCACAGUUCAGAUCUUAAAGACCACGGCCAGGACGCCCCGAGAGACAGGUGCGAAGCCCCUCCUGACCAGAGGCUGAGCUCUGACCUCAGCCCAAAAGGGAGCCCUCACUAGGGUCAUAGUGUGAGCUUUGACCCUGUCACCAAAUAAGCUCUGAUCCUGGUCACACUCUGAGCCCUGACCCUGGUCACACUCUGAGCCCUGACCUUGGUCACCUUCUGAGUCCUGAUCCAGGUCACACACUGAGCCCUGACCCUGGAUACACAUUGAGUUCUGACCCUGGUCACAUGCUGAGCCUCAUCUCCUGUCACUCAUGCUUUGAGCACACACUGAAUACAGCCCCUGAGCCUGGAUCCUCUGGUGGUCCCACUUUCUGGGAAAGUCUGUCACAAAGGGGCACGAGUCCCUGCUGUCACUCCAUGCAGUGGACAGGGUCUGGGCAUAGCUUUGACGUGACUCAGCCUUAGCCUUCUUCCUUUCCUCUGCUCUGCAGUCACCUCUUGAACUCCAGAUUUUCUUGUUCUCUCUUGACCUAGCUACCUGUCCAACCCCUGAGGCCCCAAACCAGUUGGGUUCCCUGGAGAGCCUGCCUGUUCACACGGCCCAGGAGUUUCCCCACUCUUUGCAGGGUGUGAAGCUGGGGCUGGAAGGACCAGCAGUGGGGCCAGGCCCUGGGGGCAGCAAGGCAGCUGGAGGCAGACCCGUACCUCACAGGGGGUCCUUGCUAACAGAGGACCAUGAUCUCCUGGGGCUGCCACACAGUCCCACACUGGAAGAGACAUCAUUUUUGGAUUAGUUCUUUAUUUUAUGCAGAGUUCACUUUAAAAAAUAAAGAUGGUGCAUUAAUUGGAAAACCA
rnacentral:lncRNA from 1 species